UGGAAUUCACUUCUACAAAGUUCUCUGGUCACCUUCUUGAUGCCAGCGGCCACAAAUCACAGUGCCAGUUUCCUGUGGAAUCAGAGGUAGACAGGACAGCACACGCCUGGGAGGCUCCCAGGAAUGGCAGCGGUGUGCAGGAACAGGAACACCAGUGUGUCCAUGGAAGGUAAGGUGCCUGGGGCAGCCGAGGGCCCAGAGAGACAGGCAAAGGGGUUCCCUGUCACACACAGCCUCUGGUACCAGUAACACCGCUGUGCUGCAGCAGUGCUCAGGGCUCCUGGUCCCUGUGUACAGCAGAGGGGCUGUGCUGGCUGCAGGGAACUUUGGCAGUUUCUCCCAGGGAUGAGAAAAACAUUUCAAAAAUAGGACAAACAGCGCUGGAGAGCUAUGCAGCGGAGUUACAAAAUGUGGCAGGGAAGCAGGACAUGACCAGCAGCUGACUCUGUCAGACUUGUCCUGCUGGUUUUGUGUCCUGCCAGUGGCACAGCCCCUGGCCCUCCAGGCCCCAGAACCCAGCCAACACAGCAGUGCUGAGGCACCAGGCUGGGACCAAAGGGACAUCUGCUGGAAACAGACAGUAUUACCAAAAGCUUCCCUAAACUUUUGUGGAAAAUGCUACGUAAGGAGAUAAAGCCACUCAGAUCAAAAGAGACUAGAGGGAGAAUUCAGAUGCACAUAAGUUUUGCUUCCCAGCAGCUACAAAUUCACUGAGGAAUUCUAAUUAAUGUAUGACUUUAACAUUCCAUUUUAGGGACUAACACAUGCUCAAAUAGCUUUAGGAGACUGAAAAAUUAAAGAGUUUUAAGAGAGAUUGGGAGGCUCAGCAGUUACAUGGGUGUUUUAAAUGGGACAGCUUUAUCCUGUGACUCCUUAGUGGCAGCCGUUAGAAUCAUUUGCCAUAGUUGUAUUUCCAAAUCUCUUGUUGGGAAAAGCAAUUACAAGAGAGAUAAGGGAUAAUAACUCUGUACCAAAGUUUGGAAGGGGUUCAUCGGGUGCUUGACAAGUGUAUUAAUUCUAAUGUUUAGUUGAAAGGAUUUAUACCACUUCAGAAUUGGUAUUACUUUAAAAGGCACUCUUUUAAUAAUGACUUAAUAUUGUCAUCUCUAUGGACGAGUGUGGGAGUCAGUCAUACUGAGGGACAAACCUAAUUCUGUCAAACAUGGGUAAGUUUAGGUUUUAACUCUCUGUGCACCCUCCUCUGAUGGUUAUGAGAGUAAGCUAUGGCUAUGAAGAAAUGUCUUAUUAUAAGAAGCCUUUGUGGGCUGCUUUGUUUCCAAACACCAACAAAACUCACACAGCAGUUCUGAGAUGCUCUAAGAAGACAAAUCUACAAUGAAACAUCACUUACACUAAAACUCCACUAACAGAACUGGAGAAUAUUAAUGGGCUGGUGCAGUUUCACAUGCUCUAAAUAGGAAAUAAGAUCAGAAUCGGCACUGCCACAGACCUGAAAGCAGAGGAAAGUACUUCUCAGUGCUAAUUGCUCCACUGCCUAUAUGUGGAGCUGUGGCUACAGGAUCUUUUCUCAUCUUAUUUUCUAUUCCUAGUGUAUAUUUUAAUUUAUUAAGUGCAAAUAAGCCAUGGGAUCAUCAACAACAACAACAACAAAUCCAAAA